UACAGAGGGUGCAAGCGUUAUUCGGAGUUAUUGGGCGUAAAGAGCGCGUAGGCGGCUCGAUAAGUUUGGUGUGAAAUCCCUGGACUCAAUCCAGGAAGUGCAUUGAAUACUGUCGAGCUAGAGUGCAGGAGAGGUGAGCGGAAUUCCUGGUGUAGAGGUGAAAUUCGUAGAUAUCAGGAGGAACAACAGAGGCGAAGGCGGCUCACUGGACUGAUACUGACGCUGAGGCGCGAAAGCGUGGGGAGCAAACAGG
rnacentral:rRNA from 1 species